UUGCAAUCCUGCUUGCAAAUGUCCCAUUCCUACUUAAUGUAAAUGUAGGUGCCUCCAGUAGAUAAAGUUCUUUGUCAAGUCUUAAUCUGAGCUGCGGGUGCGAUGCAGGACGUGCUGACUGGAGGGCCAUGCAGGGGGAGCAGGCCCGCUGGUACCAAAACACAAGCGUGUUGUAAAAGCUUCAUGACCAGUGGACAUGACGUACUGUAUUAACAAAAUAAGAUACCAAAGGUCCCCUUUUGCCACAAUAUGUACACAUUAAAUAAUGCUAAAACACAUUUUGGAUUUCUAAAGGUAACCAUAUAUUUGUUAAACAGACUAAAUUCCAUGAGCGUUUAGACAUGACGACAAUUGAACUGAUCUUUAUUUCUUUAAGAAAUAGAAAUGUUCUUAUUGUGAUGUGAAAUGUUAGUGUUGACUUUUAAAUCUGGAAUGUGCAACCUUUUCACUUUUUUUCAUGUUCAUUGGAUUUUGGGGUUAAGCACUCCACCUUGUACUACUUUAACCAAAACAUACACAUACUCUCAGGUGCAUCUGUAAUGAUUUCAUAUAGAAACGUAUCACAUCAUAUAAAUAAACAUAAACUUUGGCCUAACAAAGCUUGGUGGCUUUUAUUAAAACGUGUAUCAUAAGUAUAAGCCAACCCACCAAGUUGAAAUUGUUGAAGUGAAGUUCUUAAAAUACGUUUAAGUAAAAGGUUGGCAUAGUGUUGGCAGCAAGCGCCCUGUAGAUGCUGGUCUAUCAUUUCAUUGCACUUCAUAGUAUAAAGCAAUGUUUAACCCAUGCAGGAGUCUUAACAAAACACAUUAUUUUCCCUUUCCCUCCACUUCAUCUUCAUCAGGGCUAGAUAUAUCCACAAGCUCAGCCAGGAAUAUUCCAUCAGGAAGGAAGGUGGGCGGUCUUUCCUGAUGCAUGUCAAUCUUAUCUGAACAGCUACACGACUUGUCUGACUGUUUCUUUGCAGCAGGAGGGAAGUCUUCAAUGGGUUGCUUGCACGUUAGUGUGG
ensembl:lncRNA